CAAGGGGUAGUUUAAAAAAAAAUAUUAGUUUUGGGGAUUAAUGAUAGGAAGAAAUUCUUUCCCUUGA
rnacentral:tRNA from 1 species